rnacentral:rRNA from 1 species
AUUGAACGCUGGCGGCAUGCCUUACACAUGCAAGUCGAACGGCAGCACGGGAGCUUGCUCCUGGUGGCGAGUGGCGAACGGGUGAGUAAUGCAUCGGAACGUGCCCUGAAGUGGGGGAUAACGUAGCGAAAGUUACGCUAAUACCGCAUAUUCUGUGAGCAGGAAAGCAGGGGAUCUUCGGACCUUGCGCUUUUGGAGCGGCCGAUGUCGGAUUAGCUAGUUGGUGGGGUAAAGGCCCACCAAGGCGACGAUCCGUAGCGGGUCUGAGAGGAUGAUCCGCCACACUGGAACUGAGACACGGUCCAGACUCCUACGGGAGGCAGCAGUGGGGAAUUUUGGACAAUGGGCGCAAGCCUGAUCCAGCCAUGCCGCGUGAGUGAAGAAGGCCUUCGGUUGUAAAGCUCUUUCGGUGGGGUAAGGAAAGUUAGCUUGGGUUAAUACCCUGAGUAGAUGACGGUA